rnacentral:rRNA from 1 species
CAGCCGCCGCGGUAAAACGGAGGGGGCUAGCGUUGUUCGGAAUUACCGGGCGUAAAGCGCACGUAGGCGGCUUGGUAAGUUAGAGGUGAAAGCCUGGAGCUCAACUCCAGAAUUGCCUUUAAGACUGCCGAGCUAGCAGGUGAGAGAGGUAAGUGGAAUUCCGAGUGUAGAGGUGAAAUUCGUAGAUAUUCGGAAGAACACCAGUGGCGAAGGCGGCUUACUGGCUCAUACUGGACGCUGAGGUGCGAAAGCGUGGGGAGCAAACAGGAUUAGAUACCCCAGUAGUCCCUGUCUCUUAUAC